rnacentral:rRNA from 1 species
UACGUAGGGUGCAAGCGUUGUCCGGAAUUAUUGGGCGUAAAGAGCUCGUAGGCGGUUUGUCGCGUCUGCUGUGAAAACCCGAGGCUCAACCUCGGGCCUGCAGUGGGUACGGGCAGACUAGAGUGCGGUAGGGGAGAUUGGAAUUCCUGGUGUAGCGGUGGAAUGCGCAGAUAUCAGGAGGAACACCAAUGGCGAAGGCAGAUCUCUGGGCCGUAACUGACGCUGAUGCGCGAAAGCGUGGGGAGCAAACAGG